rnacentral:rRNA from 1 species
GAUGAACGCUGGCGGCGUGCCUAAUACAUGCAAGUCGAGCGAACAGAUGAGGAGCUUGCUCCUCUGACGUUAGCGGCGGACGGGUGAGUAACACGUGGAUAACCUACCUAUAAUACUGGGAUAACUUCGGGAAACCGGAGCUAAUACCGGAUAAUAUAUUGAACCGCAUGGUUCAAUAGUGAAAGACGGUUUUGCUGUCACUUAUAUAUGGAUCCGCGCCGCAUUAGCUAGUUGGUAAGGUAACGGCUUACCAAGGCAACGAUGCGUAGCCGGCCUGAGAGGGGGAUCGGCCACAAUGGAACGGAGACACGGUCCAGACUCCUACGGGAGGCAGCAGUAGGGAAUCUUCCGCAAUGGGCGAAAGCCUGACGGAGCAACGCCGCGUGAGUGAUGAAGGUCUUCGGAUCGUAAAACUCUGUUAUUAGGGAAGAACAAAUGUGUAAGUAACGAUGCACGUCUUGACGGUACCUAAUCAGAAAGCCACGGCUAACUACGUG